rnacentral:rRNA from 1 species
AGAAUCAGCGUGUCAUUCUCCUGGUCCGAAAGGAUCCUGGGUAAUCCGUUGAAACUCUUUCGUGAUGGGGAUAGGGAAUUGUAAUUAUUUUCCUUGAACGAGGAAUUCCCAGUAAGCGCGAGUCAUAAGCUCGCGUUGAUUACGUCCCUGCCCUUUGUACACACCGCCCGUCGCUACUACCGAUUGAAUGAUUUAGUGAGGUCUUUGGACGGGUCUUGAUUCGGGGCUUAACGGUCUCGAGCAAUGUGCCUGAAAAUUGAUCUAGCUCAGUCAUUUCGAGGAAGUAAAAGUCGUAACAAGGUUUCCGUAGGUGAACCUGCGGAAGGAUCAUUAUCGUC